rnacentral:rRNA from 1 species
UACGGAGGGGACUAGCGUUGUUCGGAAUUACUGGGCGUAAAGCGCACGUAGGCGGAUUUGUAAGUCAGGGGUGAAAUCCCGGGGCUCAACCUCGGAACUGCCUUUGAUACUGCAAAUCUCGAGUCCGGAAGAGGUGAGUGGAAUUCCUAGUGUAGAGGUGAAAUUCGUAGAUAUUAGGAAGAACACCAGUGGCGAAGGCGGCUCACUGGUCCGGUACCGACGCUGAGGUGCGAAAGCGUGGGGAGCAAACAGG